CCAACGGCGAGGCGAUAUUGGAGGAUCUCGGAGCGCCCUACCAGCCGCCGCCGCGCCCUUGAGCACCAGCGCCAUGCGCCUUCUCCCGGACGGCUGCUUGCCCGCUCCCUUCAAGCCCCAGCCGCCGCGCUCCUGUCAAGCCCCGGCCGCCGCGCUCGGUCACCGCAAGGACCGGCCUCCGCGCUUGCUGCUCGCAAGGACCGGCCGCCAUGCCUCGCCGGCCAACAUCGGAGCAGCCAGCCUCGGCAGGUGACAGCAUAUCCUCAUCCAGGCUCGCCCUGGCCGGAGCCUACUGCGUCAACCCAUCACAUCGAUCAUCCCGCCUCAUCCCACCAGCGUACUCGCCGGCGUAGAUUUCCCCACAGUGUAAUAGUAAUUGCAAGGAGAGAGACACUACUGGAUACAGGGACACAAGUGGGAGCACAAGUACAGUGUACAUGCAGCAUUGUCUGAACCAAUGACCAAGCAAAAAAAUAAGAAAAACAGGGUAGAAAGAAAGGAGUCUCGGAACUAAACAGGUUCAGCCAUGCCAAAAACACAAAUCCAAGAGAUCUGCUUCAUCAGCACGGAUCCGAGAUCUAGAAGAAAGAAUUGAACAAAAGGAUAGAGAGGGAUGCAAAUGACAAGUAGCUAUGGCAUCAAGAGGAGUUAGCUGCGAGACUUGUAGCACAAGAGACAACACUUGAAGAGAUGGGGAUGAAGUAGCAAGAAAAGUAGUGUAAUGAGCCAGCAAGAUAAGAAUGAAGCUUGGGAAAAGAAGCAACGUGAUGAAAUGCCAUCCUUUUGUGAUGAAAGAUUGGUGCUGAACAAGCACUGCAAUCAACCAGGACAACACUUUUGUGGUCUUUA